rnacentral:rRNA from 1 species
GACGAACGCUGGCGGCGUGCUUAACACAUGCAAGUCGAGCGGUAAGGCCCUUCGGGUACGACGAGCGGCGAACGGGUGAGUAACACGUGGGUGACCUGCCUCUAGCUCUGGGAUAAGCCUGGGAAACUGGGUCGUAAUACCGGAUAUGACUCCACGGCGCAUGUUGUGGGGUGGAAAGCCUUGUGUGGCUAGAGAUGGGCCCGCGGCCUAUCAGCUUGUUGGUGGGGUGAUGGCCUACCAAGGCGACGA